ACAUGCCUACAACAUAGAGUUAAUGCACUAGAUCCCAUUAGAACUCCACAGUUAAGCGUGCUUGGGCUAGAGUAGUACUGGGAUGGUUGACCACUCGGGAAGUCCUAGUAUUUUACAUGCC
rnacentral:rRNA from 1 species